AGAGUUUGAUCCUGGCUCAGGAUGAACGCUAGCGACAGGCUUAACACAUGCAAGUCGAGGGGCAGCACAGGUAGCAAUACCGGGUGGCGACCGGCGCACGGGUGAGUAACGCGUAUGCAACUUACCUAUCAGAGGGGGAUAACCCGGCGAAAGUCGGACUAAUACCGCAUGAAGCAGGGGCCCCGCAUGGGGAUAUUUGCUAAAGAUUCAUCGCUGAUAGAUAGGCAUGCGUUCCAUUAGGCAGUUGGCGGGGUAACGGCCCACCAAACCGACGAUGGAUAGGGGUUCUGAGAGGAAGGUCCCCCACAUUGGUACUGAGACACGGACCAAACUCCUACGGGAGGCAGCAGUGAGGAAUAUUGGUCAAUGGGCGCGAGCCUGAACCAGCCAAGUCGCGUGAGGGAUGAAGGUUCUAUGGAUCGUAAACCUCUUUUAUAAGGGAAUAAAGUGCGGGACGUGUCCCGUUUUGUAUGUACCUUAUGAAUAAGGAUCGGCUAACUCCGUGCCAGCAGCCGCGGUAAUACGGAGGAUCCGAGCGUUAUCCGGAUUUAUUGGGUUUAAAGGGAGCGUAGGCGGACUAUUAAGUCAGCUGUGAAAGUUUGCGGCUCAACCGUAAAAUUGCAGUUGAUACUGGUCGUCUUGAGUGCAGUAGAGGUAGGCGGAAUUCGUGGUGUAGCGGUGAAAUGCUUAGAUAUCACGAAGAACUCCGAUUGCGAAGGCAGCCUGCUAAGCUGCAACUGACAUUGAGGCUCGAAAGUGUGGGUAUCAAACAGGAUUAGAUACCCUGGUAGUCCACACGGUAAACGAUGAAUACUCGCUGUUUGCGAUAUACUGCAAGCGGCCAAGCGAAAGCGUUAAGUAUUCCACCUGGGGAGUACGCCGGCAACGGUGAAACUCAAAGGAAUUGACGGGGGCCCGCACAAGCGGAGGAACAUGUGGUUUAA
rnacentral:rRNA from 1 species